rnacentral:sRNA from 1 species
AAGUUAAUAGGGAACCGCGAAUAAUGAUUGGUUUCAUAGAUGCACGAACACGUCAAUAUUCAAAAUAAUUCAACCGAGUUUGAAAUUAUUCCUUAACGAAACCCUCCAAUAAUCAAAUUUUCUGUUUCGACGUGGAAUAAAAUAACGUUACGGCUGAGUUAUGCAAUAAGAUUUCGUGUUUUGGCCGAGUUAUGAGAUACCAUAUCUUAUUAUGAUAUAUCAAACCAGCCACCAAAUUGUUGGUUAUAUUAGUAGCGUGAAGAUGUGCAAUUUGAAAACAGAAAAUAACUUUUAGUUUCAGCAAGUGUCGAUUGACAAAACAUGGUCUGUCAAAACUCCUAGGAAGUAUGUUGUUGGAUAUAGUAUGAUGUUGGACAAAGUAGGCUGUUGGAUAAAGUUUAUAGGAUAUGAUCUACUUUCACGGUUCCACUUUUUGGAAUGUGGUUAUGAUAUGUUAAUUACUUGACUUUCACAACUGUUGGCUCAAGAAAAGCACUUUCAGGGUUUGGGCGAGUUGUAACAAAGUGAUGGCUGAGUUAUGCCUUUAUUGUGGCUGAGUUAUGUUAGAAGAUUUCGAUUGUUCGAACUACAUAAGAGAAAACCAAAUGUUAUUAUGAGAUUUGAAUACAAGCAUUAUUGUUGGUUCGAUCGAUGUCAUCAAAUCAGUCAGAAUAUUGCUGUGUUUUGCUUUUGCUGAGUUUAUCGAGAAACAAUUAUUAUGUUAUUCUCGAGAUUAAAAAAAAAA